CCUUAGAUCGCGUAUCAAUAGUCGCAUAUCGCUCAUAACAUCGGACAUAUUUGUUUGCAACACGUCGCGUUGCCCCUGUUUUUGAAUAAAAAUGCAAACGCAGUUAGAAACGGAGAAAAUCAAGUUUACGUACAAUACUGUAUUUUAUCCAGUUGUUCGGAUGUCUUGUUGGAAAUAAGUGAAUAUCGUAAAUGAAACGCGACGGUGCGGUACAACAUUGAUAAGAUAAAUGCGGGGGAAACUCUGAAGACGACAUUUUGUUUAAUUGUAGCGCGUAAUCGUUUCGUUUGAUGGUACAGAAAAAUUACCAAAAAAAAAUUACUUUUUGGUAAUACUUUGUGUCUGCGCGAUGUAUGUAGUUGCUGAACAGCGAACGAGUCCGAAAUUUGUCGUGAACCCUAGAGCCGUGCCUUUUUGGACGAGUGGAUCCAGAUAAGGAUACCAAAUAAACCAAGAAUUGCUGCAAAAUAUAGCGACGAGAUUAUGUCAAGGUUAUGUCAAAUCCACAUCGGUGGUUUUUUUAAAAAUCGUGUUGAAAAUAUUGGUAACGAAUAAAUGUUAUCAGCUAGA